rnacentral:rRNA from 2 species
GAUGUUAGCGGCGGACGGGUGAGUAACACGUGGGUAACCUGCCUGUAAGACUGGGAUAACUCCGGGAAACCGGAGCUAAUACCGGAUAGUUCCUUGAACCGCAUGGUUCAAGGAUGAAAGACGGUUUCGGCUGUCACUUACAGAUGGACCCGCGGCGCAUUAGCUAGUUGGUGGGGUAAUGGCUCACCAAGGCGACGAUGCGUAGCCGACCUGAGAGGGUGAUCGGCCACACUGGGACUGAGACACGGCCCAGACUCCUACGGGAGGCAGCAGUAGGGAAUCUUCCGCAAUGGACGAAAGUCUGACGGAGCAACGCCGCGUGAGUGAUGAAGGUUUUCGGAUCGUAAAGCUCUGUUGUUAGGGAAGAACAAGUGCGAGAGUAACUGCUCGCACCUUGACGGUACCUAACCAGAAAGCCACGGCUAACUACGUGCCAGCAGCCGCGGUAAUACGUAGGUGGCAAGCGUUGUCCGGAAUUAUUGGGCGUAAAGGGCUCGCAGGCGGUUUCUUAAGUCUGAUGUGAAAGCCCCCGGCUCAACCGGGGAGGGUCAUUGGAAACUGGGAAACUUGAGUGCAGAAGAGGAGAGUGGAAUUCCACGUGUAGCGGUGAAAUGCGUAGAGAUGUGGAGGAACACCAGUGGCGAAGGCGACUCUCUGGUCUGUAACUGACGCUGAGGAGCGAAAGCGUGGGGAGCGAACAGGAUUAGAUACCCUGGUAGUCCACGCCGUAAACGAUGAGUGCUAAGUGUUAGCGGGGUUUCCCCCCCUUAGUGCUGCAGCUAACGCAUUAAAGCUCUCCUCCCUGGGGGAGUACGGGUCGCAAGACUGAAACUCAAAGGAAUUGACGGGGGCCCGCACAAGCGGUGGAGCAUGUGGUUUAAUUCGAAGCAACGCGAAGAACCUUACCAGGUCUUGACAUCCUCUGACAACCCUAGAGAUAGGGCUUUCCCUUCGGGGACAGAGUGACAGGUGGUGCAUGGUUGUCGUCAGCUCGUGUCGUGAGAUGUUGGGUUAAGUCCCGCAACGAGCGCAACCCUUGAUCUUAGUUGCCAGCAUUUAGUUGGGCACUCUAAGGUGACUGCCGGUGACAAACCGGAGGAAGGUGGGGAUGACGUCAAAUCAUCAUGCCCCUUAUGACCUGGGCUACACACGUGCUACAAUGGACAGAACAAAGGGCUGCGAGACCGCAAGGUUUAGCCAAUCCCAUAAAUCUGUUCUCAGUUCGGAUCGCAGUCUGCAACUCGACUGCGUGAAGCUGGAAUCGCUAGUAAUCGCGGAUCAGCAUGCC